rnacentral:misc_RNA from 1 species
AAGGUCAGCUAAUUUUCCCACCUGUCAAAAAUUGUGUAGCUUCAGUUAGACCUUGGAUUGAGAUACGAAUAGAGGAAACGCUUAGCCAGCAAUCACUGGGUGUCAAUGUCAUGACAUACGGAAGGGAUCAUAUUACUAAUUAGAGGUAUAUCAAUUAACGGUGCAUCAAGUUGAAUCUAUGCAGAACAUGACUUUCAGACAACAGUUUCUUGUAUUGUUCCUGAUGCAGAAUAGUAUUUUAAGAGUGACAAUUCACACAGUUGCAAAACUGACACAACGGCCACUUUCUAAAUUCUAUUUAAACAACAAAAUAUUUUCUACUCUGCACGAGUCUAUCUGGUGCACUGAGGAAAUAAGACACAAUUACACAUUGGUUUCUUCAACUUACAUCAGGAAUACCAAAGUAGUAUCAUUUCAAGGUACAUGGCACAAGAUAGCAUUGUCAAACUUUAGCUCUUCAGUGAAUAAGGAGCAG